rnacentral:rRNA from 1 species
UUUUGACCUCGGAUCAGGUAGGAAUACCCGCUGAACUUAAGCAUAUCAAUAA